AACGGACGCUGGCGGCAUGCCUAACACAUGCAAGUCGAACGAGACCUUCGGGUCUAGUGGCGCACGGGUGCGUAACGCGUGGGAACCUGCCCUUAGGUUCGGAAUAACUCAGAGAAAUUUGAGCUAAUACCGGAUAAUGUCUUCGGACCAAAGAUUUAUCGCCUUUGGAUGGGCCCGCGUAGGAUUAGCUUGUUGGUGGGGUAAUGGCCUACCAAGGCGACGAUCCUUAGCUGGUCUGAGAGGAUGAUCAGCCACACUGGGACUGAGACACGGCCCAGACUCCUACGGGAGGCAGCAGUGGGGAAUAUUGGACAAUGGGCGAAAGCCUGAUCCAGCAAUGCCGCGUGAGUGAUGAAGGCCUUAGGGUUGUAAAGCUCUUUUACCAGGGAUGAUAAUGACAGUACCUGGAGAAUAAGCUCCGGCUAACUCCGUG
rnacentral:rRNA from 1 species